rnacentral:rRNA from 1 species
AAUGAACGUUGGCGGCAUGGAUUAGGCAUGCAAGUCGAGCGAGAAGGUUUCUUUUGCUUGCAUUGGAAACUGGAAAGCGGCGAAAGGGAGAGUAACGCGUAGGACACCUGCCCCCAGGUCUGGGAUAGCGGUGGGAAACCGCCGGUAAUACCGGAUGAUGUCUCCGGACCAAAGGUGAGAUUCCGCCUGGGGAUGGUCCUGCGUCCUAUUAGCUUGUUGGUGGGGUAAUGGCCUACCAAGGCAAUGAUGGGUAGCGGGCGUGAGAGCGUGGCCCGUCUCACUGGGACUGAGACACUGCCCAGACACCUACGGGUGGCUGCAGUCGAGAAUCUUCCGCAAUGGACGAAAGUCUGACGGAGCGAUGCCGCGUGCGGGAUGAAGGCCUUCGGGUUGUAAACCGCUGUCAGUGGGGUGGAAUGCAAUGAGGCUAUCCUCAUUGUUUGACCUAACCGCAGAGGAAUCCGGGCUAAGUACGUGCCAGCCGCCGCGGUAAU